rnacentral:rRNA from 1 species
CCUACGGGAGGCAGCAGUAAGGAAUAUUGGUCAAUGGGCGCAAGCCUGAACCAGCCAUGCCGCGUGCAGGAAGACGGCCCUAUGGGUUGUAAACUGCUUUUGUCAGGGAAUAAACCCCCGCUCGUGAGCGGGGCUGAAGGUACCUGAAGAAUAAGCACCGGCUAACUCCGUGCCAGCAGCCGCGGUAAUACGGAGGGUGCAAGCGUUAAUCGGAAUUACUGGGCGUAAAGCGCGCGUAGGCGGCUUAUUAAGUCGGAUGUGAAAUCCCCGGGCUCAACCUGGGAAUGGCCUCCGAGACUGGUAAGCCAGAGUGCAAGAGAGGGUGGUGGAAUUUCUAGUGUAGCGGUGAAAUGUGUAGAUAUCAGAAGGAACAUCAGUGGCGAAGGCGACCACCUGGCUUGACACUGACGCUGAGGUGCGAAAGCAUGGGGAGCAAACAGGAUUAGAUACCCUGGUAGUCCAUGCCGUAAACGAUGUCUACUAGCCGUUGGGACCCUUGAGGUUUUAGUGGCGCAGUUAACGUGAUAAGUAGACCGCCUGGGGAGUACGGCCGCAAGGUUAAAACUCAAAUGAAUUGACGGGAAGU